AUUGAACGCUGGCGGCAGGCCUAACACAUGCAAGUCGAAUGGUAACAGGAAACAGCUUGCUGUUUCGCUGACGAGUGGCGGACGGGUGAGUAAUGUCUGGGAAACUGCCUGAUGGAGGGGGAUAACUACUGGAAACGGUAGCUAAUACCGCAUAACGUCGCAAGACCAAAGAUGGGGACCUUCGGGCCUCUUUCCAUCAGAUGUUCCCAGGUGGGAUUAGCUAGUAGGUGGGGUAACGGCUCACCUAGGCGACGAUCCCUAGCUGGUCUGAGAGGAUGACCAGCCACACUGGAACUGAGACACGGUCCAGACUCCUACGGGAGGCAGCAGUGGGGAAUAUUGCACAAUGGGCGCAAGCCUGAUGCAGCCAUGCCGCGUGUAUGAAGAAGGCCUUCGGGUUGUAAAGUACUUUCAGCGGGGAGGAAGGGAGUAAAGUUAAUACCUUUGCUCAUUGACGUUACCCGAAGAAGAAGCACCGGCUAACUACGUG
rnacentral:rRNA from 1 species